GAACGCUGGCGGCGUGCCUAAUACAUGCAAGUCGAACGAGUUCUGAUUAUUGAAAGGUGCUUGCAUCUUGAUUUUAAUUUUGAACGAGUGGCGGACGGGUGAGUAACACGUGGGUAACCUGCCCUUAAGUGGGGGAUAACGUUUGGAAACAGAUGCUAAUACCGCAUAAAUCCAAGAACCGCAUGGUUCUUGGCUGAAAGAUGGCGUAAGCUAUCGCUUUUGGAUGGACCCGCGGCGUAUUAGCUAGUUGGUGAGGUAACGGCUCACCAAGGCAAUGAUACGUAGCCGAACUGAGAGGUUGAUCGGCCACAUUGGGACUGAGACACGGCCCAAACUCCUACGGGAGGCAGCAGUAGGGAAUCUUCCACAAUGGACGCAAGUCUGAUGGAGCAACGCCGCGUGAGUGAAGAAGGCUUUCGGGUCGUAAAACUCUGUUGUUGGAGAAGAAUGGUCGGCAGAGUAACUGUUGUCGGCGUGACGGUAUCCAACCAGAAAGCCACGGCUAACUACGUGCCAGCAGCCGCGGUAAUACGUAGGUGGCAAGCGUUAUCCGGAUUUAUUGGGCGUAAAGCGAGCGCAGGCGGUUUUUUAAGUCUGAUGUGAAAGCCCUCGGCUUAACCGAGGAAGUGCAUCGGAAACUGGGAAACUUGAGUGCAGAAGAGGACAGUGGAACUCCAUGUGUAGCGGUGAAAUGCGUAGAUAUAUGGAAGAACACCAGUGGCGAAGGCGGCUGUCUGGUCUGUAACUGACGCUGAGGCUCGAAAGCAUGGGUAGCGAACAGGAUUAGAUACCCUGGUAGUCCAUGCCGUAAACGAUGAAUGCUAGGUGUUGGAGGGUUUCCGCCCUUCAGUGCCGCAGCUAACGCAUUAAGCAUUCCGCCUGGGGAGUACGACCGCAAGGUUGAAACUCAAAGGAAUUGACGGGGGCCCGCACAAGCGGUGGAGCAUGUGGUUUAAUUCGAAGCAACGCGAAGAACCUUACCAGGUCUUGACAUCUUUUGAUCACCUGAGAGAUCAGGUUUCCCCUUCGGGGGCAAAAUGACAGGUGGUGCAUGGUUGUCGUCAGCUCGUGUCGUGAGAUGUUGGGUUAAGUCCCGCAACGAGCGCAACCCUUAUGACUAGUUGCCAGCAUUUAGUUGGGCACUCUAGUAAGACUGCCGGUGACAAACCGGAGGAAGGUGGGGAUGACGUCAAAUCAUCAUGCCCCUUAUGACCUGGGCUACACACGUGCUACAAUGGAUGGUACAACGAGUUGCGAGACCGCGAGGUCAAGCUAAUCUCUUAAAGCCAUUCUCAGUUCGGACUGUAGGCUGCAACUCGCCUACACGAAGUCGGAAUCGCUAGUAAUCGCGGAUCAGCACGCCGCGGUGAAUACGUUCCCGGGCCUUGUACACACCGCCCGUCACACCAUGAGAGUUUGUAACACCCGAAGCCGGUGGCGUAACCCUUUUAGGGAGCGAGCCGUCUAAGGUGGGACAAAUGAUUAG
rnacentral:rRNA from 1 species